rnacentral:misc_RNA from 1 species
GAUGAAGAACGCAGCGAAAUGCGAUAAUUAAUGUGAAUUGCAGAAUUCAGUGAAUCAUCGAGUCUUUGAACGCACAUUGCGCCCCCUGGUAUUCCGGGGGGCAUGCCUGUCCGAGCGUCAUUGCUGCCCUCAAGCCCGGCUUGUGUGUUGGGCCCUGCUCCCCCGGGGGCAGGCCCGAAAGGCAGUGGCGGCACCGCGUCCGAUCCUCGAGCGUAUGGGGCUUUGUCACCCGCUCUGUAGGCCCGGCCGGCGCUUGCCGACCCCCAUCAAUCUUUUUUCAGGUUGACCUCGGAUCAGGUAGGGAUACCCGCUGAACCUAAGCAUAUCAAUAAGCGGAGGA